GUGCUGUCCUGCUGCGAGGGCCGCACUAUCCCCACGAGUUCGGGCUCCCAUGUGCUGCUGCAGGGAGUCACAGUUUAACAGAGUAAAGAACAUGAACAAAGAGUAACACACUGUUUAGAAAAGUUACUUCAGGAGACUGCUGCAAGAGGGAAAAGCUGCUGGCUCUCCUGUCUGGUUGAGUCCAACAGUAGAGCAAAUGUAAGCCCUUAAGGAGCACAACAGACCCCGAACUGGCAAAAUACAGAAGAUCUGCCAAGCAGGAUGCAUUGUGCCACUCCAAGUGACAAACAGGACAGUGUCUCAUAGGCAGGCUGUCAAAUUGCAAAGUGUUCAGCAGCAGAUGAGCUUCACGUCCAGGAAUGCAACCAGAAAUGUUUACCAUUCUGAUCUAGUAACUUCCUUCCGCAGAAAAUUUUUCACUCUCAUGAAACAUUACUCACAUGACUGCAUUGGAGUGUCAUGAAAAAGCAACUCAUCAGUUUGUAUGUAUCUGCAGAAGAGUAAUUUCCAGGGCUGAUGGAACAAGGCUGGAAGCCAGAUCCAGAAAGAAUUUAAGGAGCUUAUUGUGAGUUUCUU